rnacentral:rRNA from 1 species
UUGAUCCUGGCUCAGAACGAACGCUGGCGGCACGCCUAACACAUGCAAGUCGAGCGAGACCUUCGGGUCUAGCGGCGGACGGGUUAGUAACGCGUGGGAACGUACCUUUUGCUUCGGAAUAGCCUCGGGAAACUGGGAGUAAUACCGAAUGUGCCCUUUGGGGGAAAGAUUUAUCGGCAAAAGAUCGGCCCGCGUCUGAUUAGAUAGUUGGUGGGGUAAUGGCCUACCAAGUCUGCGAUCAGUAGCUGGUUUGAGAGGAUGAUCAGCAACACUGGGACUGAGACACGGCCCAGACUCCUACGGGAGGCAGCAGUGGGGAAUCUUAGACAAUGGGCGCAAGCCUGAUCUAGCGAUGCCGCGUGAGUGACGAAGGCCUUAGGGUCGUAAAGCUCUUUCGCCAGGGAUGAUAAUGACAG